rnacentral:lncRNA from 1 species
CUAAUGUAGCUGAUGUGGAGCCAGAGUUUCUGUCCUUAUGCCAUAUUUCCCACCAAUAGAUUGUGUCCCAAGGAAAGCCAGUUCCAAGGCCGCCUGCCAGUCCCUUGGCACAAAGACACCAGCAGUCUCAGACAAGGCACCCAAGGGGAUCCCACCAGAGGCCAUGAGGGAGUACAUGGCCAUCAUGGAUACACUGCUGGGGCUGUUGCCCUCAGCCUCAGGGCAGCCCAGUGGACACCCAGAAGAGGACAGAAUCCUGAAUCACUAACAGGAGAAAGGGAUAUACCCAGACCCAAGCUCCUGAGUUACACUGACAAGCUGUGCUCCUAGGAGGACUUUGUUACCAAGGUGGGCUGUACAGAUCUAGGACGUGUAAGAUCUGGACCAUAACCACCUGGAGUUCUUGUAUCAAGCUCAGUUCACUAGCUACUGCCUCUGUGUGUACGUGUGUGUGUGAGUAGCUGGUGACCCAGCUGAUCUGCAAUCCCAAGGUGUGGAUGGUGAUGUGAUGGUCACUGCUUUCUGCUUCCACUUGAAGUCCUCUUGUUUGGUUACUUUCUGAAAGGACAAUGAAAGACCUCAUCCUCCUGUUCCAGGUGGAGACCAUCAUUCACCUACAAUUCCUGGCAGGACUGCUUUCACCAAAUUCACAACUGGAUCUCACGGCCCUAUCCAAGGAGUUGGAGAAGGAGGAAGGGAUGACCCCUGGCCAGGUGGUGGAGAAGAACCUCUCACCCUUGAAUGGAGACGGGACUGUGGGGACAACCCCCAGUCACAGUGCACCUCUGUUGAACCCCAGUCCUUCUGAGUCAGCAGCCCAUCACGGUGCAGAGAUGACCAUGGCCCCCACCUUGGGGUCAGUGCUGAGACCUCCUCCCAACGGAUGUCUUUCUGGGACCCUCAGAGACACAUGGACCCAGACACUCACCUAUCCAGACCUAAGGACAAUGCUGUCUUCUCUGGGCACCAGAAGUGUCCCUUACUGGGGGACAUUAAGCCUACUUCUCCCCAUAGCCACGGAGCCCCCUCCCCAAGGGGGCCCAAGAAAGCCAACAGUUUCAGAAGAGAAUCCUCGGCUGAUAACCCACGACCAGUGGGCAUCUCCAGUGAGGACGAGGAGGAACUUCCCAGCCUGUCCUUCCUCCUGGCCUCCCAGCACCACCUGCUGCCCUUGGGGUUUGUCCAGAGCCAGUCCUCUGCCCUGCCUUGGAGCUGGGAAUCCUUGCAGAGCACCAAAACCCCUCUCUAACCAUGGAAGUGGUUCUCCCCCAUCUGCUAUCAAGUACAUGAAGUGA